GGCUGGUCCAAAUGUAAUAGGUUACCAGAAGUUAUUACUGUUAGUUUCACUAACCUUUCUAAGUUCCACCCCACUCCUAACCUUGUCUGGUUUUUG
rnacentral:Y_RNA from 1 species